rnacentral:rRNA from 1 species
AAGACCUUGCACUUUUGGAGCGGCCGAUGUCUGAUUAGCUAGUUGGUGGGGUAAUGGCCUACCAAAGCUUCGAUCAGUAGCUGGUCUGAGAGGACGGCCAGCCACACUGGGACUGAGACACGGCCCAGACUCCUACGGGAGGCAGCAGUGGGGAAUUUUGGACAAUGGGCGCAAGCCUGAUCCAGCAAUGCCGCGUGAGUGAAGAAGGCCUUCGGGUUGUAAAGCUCUUUCAGCCGGGAAGAAAAGGUUGCGACUAAUAAUCGCAAUCCAUGACGGUACCGAAAGAAGAAGCACCGGCUAACUACGUGCCAGCAGCCGCGGUAAUACGUAGGGUGCGAGCGUUAAUCGGAAUUACUGGGCGUAAAGGGUGCGCAGGCGGUUUUGUAAGUCAGAUGUGAAAUCCCCGGGCUUAACCUGGGAACU